GUUGUAUGGCUGCUGGUGCGUUAUAAUCGUUUCGUGAAAAAUGCACCACGUCAAGCCACUUAGACCAAUAAUAUCGUAGUCCGGAUAAUUAACAUAAUGAUAUUCAUUGUGGAUUUAUUAUCGUCAUAAGUUUAUGUAUGCCUUCAAUCGUCGUUUCAUUAGCCCGCUCAUGGGGGUAUGUAAAAUAAUUAGUAUUUUUCGACUUUGGUGUUAGGUUGUUCGGGAACGUAUAUUGUUAAUUGAGUUUGUUCAUUAUAAUAUGUAAUGAUCCUCCCAUCCUCAACUUUUUUUCCACAGAAUUUGUUAGUCUACAUUUUCUGAUCGCGGUUGUGUUACCCCUAUUCGUAGGGUAUUUGAAAUUAAUUUGUUUUUAUAUUUUUUGAUUUUAGGUUCGGGUAUACAGUUUGUCCCGUCUAAUAUGUAGUCAGAAAAUAAAUAUCGCAGUUUAGUAACUAUAAAUUAAAAUAGGAUUUUCAGGGGGUGAAGAGGAGUACCUAAC